rnacentral:rRNA from 1 species
UACGGAAGGUUCAGGCGUUAUCCGGAUUUAUUGGGUUUAAAGGGAGCGCAGGCGGCGGCGUAAGUCAGUUGUGAAAUCGUGCGGCUUAACCGUGCAAUUGCAGUUGAUACUGCGUCGCUUGAGUGCACACAGGGAUGUUGGAAUUCAUGGUGUAGCGGUGAAAUGCUUAGAUAUCAUGAAGAACUCCGAUCGCGAAGGCAUAUGUCCGGAGUGCAACUGACGCUGAGGCUCGAAAGUGUGGGUAUCAAACAGG